rnacentral:rRNA from 1 species
UACAGGGGGGGCAAGCGUUGUUCGGAAUUACUGGGCGUAAAGGGCUAGUAGGCGGCCUGCUAAGUCCGACGUGAAAUCCCCAAGCUUAACUUGGGAACUGCGUCGGAUACUGGCGGGCUUGAAUCCGGGAGAGGGAUGCGGAAUUCCAGGUGUAGCGGUGAAAUGCGUAGAUAUCUGGAGGAACACCGGUGGCGAAGGCGGCAUCCUGGACCGGCAUUGACGCUGAUCAGCGAAAGCCAGGGGAGCAAACGGG